rnacentral:rRNA from 1 species
CCUACGGGCGGCAGCAGUGGGGGAUAUUGCACAAUGGGGGAAACCCUGAUGCAGCGACGCCGCGUGUGGGAAGACGGUCCUCUGGAUUGUAAACCACUGUCCCCAGGGACGAAGAUGACGGUACCUGGGGAGGAAGCUCCGGCUAACUACGUGCCAGCAGCCGCGGUAAUACGUAGGGAGCGAGCGUUGUCCGGAAUUACUGGGGGUAAGGGGAGCGUGGGCGGGACUGCAAGUUGGGUGUCAAAUCUACCGGCUCAACCGGUAGCCGCACUCAAAACUGCAGUUCUUGAGUGAAGUAGAGGCAGGCGGAAUUCCUAGUGUAGCGGUGAAAUGCGUAGAUAUUAGGAGGAACACCAGUGGCGAAGGCGGCCUGCUGGGCUUUUACUGACGCUGAGGCUCGAAAGUGUGGGGAGCAAACAGGAUUAGAUACCCCUGUAGUC